rnacentral:rRNA from 1 species
UUAAGCGACUAAGCGUACACGGUGGAUGCCCCGCAGUCAGAGGCGAUGAAGGACGUGCUAAUCUGCGAUAAGCGUCGGUAAGGUGAUAUGAACCGUUAUAACCGGCGAUUUCCGAAUGGGGAAACCCAGUGUUUUCGACACACUAUCAUUAACUGAAUCCAUAGGUUAAUGAGGCGAACCGGGGGAACUGAAACAUCUAAGUACCCCGAGGAAAAGAAAUCAACCGAGAUUCCCCCAGUAGCGGCGAGCGAACGGGGAGCAGCCCAGAGCCUGAAUCAGUGUGUGUGUUAGUGGAAGCGUCUGGAAAGGCGCGCGAUACAGGGUGACAGCCCCGUACACAAAAAUGCACAUGCUGUGAGCUCGAUGAGUAGGGCGGGACACGUGGUAUCCUGUCUGAAUAUGGGGGGACCAUCCUCCAAGGCUAAAUACUCCUGACUGACCGAUAGUGAACCAGUACCGUGAGGAAAGGCGAAAAGAACCCCGGCGAGGGGAGUGAAAAGAACCUGAAACCGUGUACGUACAAGCAGUGGGAGCACGCUUAGGCGUGUGACUGCGUACCUUUUGUAUAAUGGGUCAGCGACUUAUAUUCUGUAGCAAGGUUAACCGAAUAGGGGAGCCGAAGGGAAACCGAGUCUUAACUGGGCGUUAAGUUGCAGGGUAUAGACCCGAAACCCGGUGAUUCAGCCAUGGGCAGGUUGAAGGUUGGGUAACACUAACUGGAGGACCGAACCGACUAAUGUUGAAAAAUUAGCGGAUGACUUGUGGCUGGGGUGAAAGGCCAAUCAAACCGGGAGAUAGCUGGUUCUCCCCGAAAGCUAUUUAGGUAGCGCCUCGUGAAUUCAUCUCCGGGGGUAGAGCACUGUUUCGGCAAGGGGGUCAUCCCGACUUACCAACCCGAUGCAAACUGCGAAUACCGGAGAAUGUUAUCACGGGAGACACACGGCGGGUGCUAACGUCCGUCGUGAAGAGGGAAACAACCCAGACCGCCAGCUAAGGUCCCAAAGUCAUGGUUAAGUGGGAAACGAUGUGGGAAGGCCCAGACAGCCAGGAUGUUGGCUUAGAAGCAGCCAUCAUUUAAAGAAAGCGUAAUAGCUCACUGGUCGAGUCGGCCUGCGCGGAAGAUGUAACGGGCUAAACCAUGCACCGAAGCUGCGGCAGCGACACUAUGUGUUGUUGGGUAGGGGAGCGUUCUGUAAGCCUGUGAAGGUGUGCUGUGAGGCAUGCUGGAGGUAUCAGAAGUGCGAAUGCUGACAUAAGUAACGAUAAAGCGGGUGAAAAGCCCGCUCGCCGGAAGACCAAGGGUUCCUGUCCAACGUUAAUCGGGGCAGGGUGAGUCGACCCUAAGGCGAGGCCGAAAGGCGUAGUCGAUGGGAAACAGGUUAAUAUUCCUGUACUUGGUGUUACUGCGAAGGGGGACGGAGAAGGCUAUGUUGGCCGGGCGACGGUUGUCCCGGUUUAAGCGUGUAGGCUGGUUUUCCGGCAAAUCCGGAAAAUCAAGGCUGAGGCGUGAUGACGAGGCACUACGGUGCUGAAGCAACAAAUGCCCUGCUUCCGUGAAAGCCUCUAAGCAUCAGGUAACAUCAAAUCGUACCCCAAACCGACACAGGUGGUCAGGUAGAGAAUACCAAGGCGCUUGAGAGAACUCGGGUGAAGGAACUAGGCAAAAUGGUGCCGUAACUUCGGGAGAAGGCACGCUGAUAUGUAGGUGAAGUCCCUCGCGGAUGGAGCUGAAAUCAGUCGAAGAUACCAGCUGGCUGCAACUGUUUAUUAAAAACACAGCACUGUGCAAACACGAAAGUGGACGUAUACGGUGUGACGCCUGCCCGGUGCCGGAAGGUUAAUUGAUGGGGUUAGCCGCAAGGCGAAGCUCUUGAUCGAAGCCCCGGUAAACGGCGGCCGUAACUAUAACGGUCCUAAGGUAGCGAAAUUCCUUGUCGGGUAAGUUCCGACCUGCACGAAUGGCGUAAUGAUGGCCAGGCUGUCUCCACCCGAGACUCAGUGAAAUUGAACUCGCUGUGAAGAUGCAGUGUACCCGCGGCAAGACGGAAAGACCCCGUGAACCUUUACUAUAGCUUGACACUGAACAUUGAGCCUUGAUGUGUAGGAUAGGUGGGAGGCUUAGAAGUGUGGACGCCAGUCUGCAUGGAGCCGACCUUGAAAUACCACCCUUUAAUGUUUGAUGUUCUAACGUUGACCCGUAAUCCGGGUUGCGGACAGUGUCUGGUGGGUAGUUUGACUGGGGCGGUCUCCUCCUAAAGAGUAACGGAGGAGCACGAAGGUUGGCUAAUCCUGGUCGGACAUCAGGAGGUUAGUGCAAUGGCAUAAGCCAGCUUGACUGCGAGCGUGACGGCGCGAGCAGGUGCGAAAGCAGGUCAUAGUGAUCCGGUGGUUCUGAAUGGAAGGGCCAUCGCUCAACGGAUAAAAGGUACUCCGGGGAUAACAGGCUGAUACCGCCCAAGAGUUCAUAUCGACGGCGGUGUUUGGCACCUCGAUGUCGGCUCAUCACAUCCUGGGGCUGAAGUAGGUCCCAAGGGUAUGGCUGUUCGCCAUUUAAAGUGGUACGCGAGCUGGGUUUAGAACGUCGUGAGACAGUUCGGUCCCUAUCUGCCGUGGGCGCUGGAGAACUGAGGGGGGCUGCUCCUAGUACGAGAGGACCGGAGUGGACGCAUCACUGGUGUUCGGGUUGUCAUGCCAAUGGCACUGCCCGGUAGCUAAAUGCGGAAGAGAUAAGUGCUGAAAGCAUCUAAGCACGAAACUUGCCCCGAGAUGAGUUCUCCCUGACUCCUUGAGAGUCCUGAAGGAACGUUGAAGACGACGACGUUGAUAGGCCGGGUGUGUAAGCGCAGCGAUGCGUUGAGCUAACCGGUACUAAUGAACCGUGAGGCUUAACCU